rnacentral:rRNA from 1 species
UUAUUUGUUUAACUAUGGCAAUAGAAAGUUUUCCGCAGGCUAACCGCAUAAAAUGUGUUUUUUUUUGUAUUGCUUAUGUUUGACAUACGUUUAUUAGCGGGUAGUUUUUUAUUUAAACGUGAGUUUUUUAAGAGUCUGCCGGGAUAAAAGGGGAUCGGACACAGUGCCAGCAUCUGCGGUUA